GGGGAUUUUGCUCAGUGGUAGAGCGCUUGCCUAGCAAGCGCAAGGCCCUGGGUUCAGUCCCCA
rfam:Rattus norvegicus chromosome 7, whole genome shotgun sequence.